CCCAGAUGGGACGGCAGAGCAGUCCCCGCUCUGCUUUCUUGGGCAGGCCUGGCACUCCAAGCGACUGUACUUCCACGCUGAGGAUGUAAGGUGAACUUUUUGAGAGCUGACUACUGGAAAGUUAGGAGACUGGCGGAUGUGCCUGGGGUUGAACCAAACCAGAGGAGCUAUUCCUGUAAGUAAAGGGAGGGACUGAGAGACUCCCAGCAGCUGCCAAGCCCCUUUUGCUUUGGGAAACUCCCACCUUUCUUCCCUGCACUGUCAGGACUGCUCCAUUUUUGUUUACUUUAAGAAAAAGGAAACACAACAACAAGACCCUUGAUUCCACACUUCUGGUUCCCCCUUUGUGGGAGCAUCUGGUCCCCUCGUGAGGACAUCUGUGGUGCCACUCGCGUAGCAGUCACAUUAAGUGGGAAUUAGGAACUUGGGGAGAUUUUUUCCCCUAUCUGGCUGUCUGUUUUAAAGGUUCCUGUCUGUCAGCCAUUGGAGAUCAGAUUCUGUCAUUGUGUUUUUUGUUUGUAUCUGUUUCUGGCCCUUUAAGACAUGCACAAUAAUAUAUUGAUCUUAUAGAUUGUUUCUUGGGCAUGAUCUUGGCUGAAUGUGUCACCUAUGGAUGUAAACAUGUCUAAGAAGAUGAUGUUUUACUGUAACAAUCUGGUUUUUGAGUGUUUUUCUGAAGUAUUGUACAAUCUUGCCGUUGGAAGUUGGUUUGUCAGAGAUAAAAUAAUUAAUUAAUUAAUAAGGAGUCUUAACAGUCAAAAACUAAGUUGGAUGCAAAAGAUGUUGCCUCUAAUGUGUGGGCACAGCAGGACUCUCAGGAGGACCCCCACCCCCCACCUCCCACCCUGCCCAACCCCAUCCAUUCCCUUCUGGAUGCUUCCCCUCCUUUGCUGAUCAGAAACACUAGCAAUUCAGAUUGUAGGACUGAGAGAAAGACAUGGGAUAAUUAGUAAGAAAAACAUCCAGGUUCCCUUUGUUUGCAUAAUUAGCCUUCACAGGCCAGUUGAAAAUCUCCCAUUACUCUUCCUGUGCUCAGAUGUACUCAAUGUACUUUUAUAUUGAGAUAUUUCAGAACUUAUGCCAGAUGUUCAACAUCACCUGGAAAAAUGUUAUGCUAUUACUUAGCCAAACUUUAGCCUCAAAUGCCCAAGGUAGGAUUCUCCUGCUUCUCCAUGGGGAACCAAGAGGUCAAUUUCCCCUUGAAUACAAGCGCCAGCUUUUCUGUUCUCACCUCUUACUUUAGACCUCUUAGAAAUACCUGAACAGCCUGUAACCAAAAGGUUUACUUCCCCUGAGUUAUGAACAGGCUUUGGAGCAAAAUUUAACCAGUUUGUCACUGAGAGAGAAGGAAUAACCCUAGGAAUGGUCCCACAAGGCCAUGGAUUGGCUCAGCAGCGAGUGGCUUAUCUCAUUAAGGAGAUUAACAUCACUUUGUUCAUCAUAAACAGUAAAACCUAAGGUAUCAUAAUUUUCAUCCAAACAUGUCUGAUUGCCAACUAAAAAAUGGUUAAGAUGCCUUAGGCAUGAGGUUUUUGCUUAGAAUAGCAGUUUUCCCAGUUCCUUCCAGAACUCAGCCAAGACUUACAUUGAAAUGCAAAUGGAAGAAGCUGGCCGAGCUCAGUAGGAGACUGAGCCCCCACCCCCAACAACAACAACAACAAAAAGUAAAAGUGUCUUUUAACUGAACUCAUACUAGACUAAACCAAAAAGCAAACUGCAUGGUACUUGACU
rnacentral:lncRNA from 1 species